UACAGAGGUCUCAAGCGUUGUUCGGAUUCAUUGGGCGUAAAGGGUGCGCAGGCGGUUUUGUAAGCCAGAUGUGAAAUCCCCGGGCUUAACCUGGGAAUGGCAUUUGGGACUGCAAGGCUGGAGUUUGGCAGAGGAGACUGGAAUUCCUGGUGUAGCAGUGAAAUGCGUAGAUAUCAGGAGGAACACCGAUGGCGAAGGCAGGUCUCUGGGCUGAAACUGACGCUCAUGCACGAAAGCGUGGGGAGCAAACAGG
rnacentral:rRNA from 1 species